ACUCCUACGGGAGGCAGCAGUGGGGAAUUUUGGACAAUGGGCGAAAGCCUGAUCCAGCAAUGCCGCGUGAGUGAAGAAGGCCUUCGGGUUGUAAAACUCUUUUGUCAGGGAAGAAACGGUGAGAGCUAAUAUCUUUUGCUAAUGACGGUACCUGAAGAAUAAGCACCGGCUAACUACGUGCCAGCAGCCGCGGUAAUACGUAGGGUGCAAGCGUUAAUCGGAAUUACUGGGCGUAAAGCGUGCGCAGGCGGUUUUGUAAGUCUGAUGUGAAAUCCCCGGGCUCAACCUGGGAAUUGCAUUGGAGACUGCAAGGCUAGAAUCUGGCAGAGGGGGGUAGAAUUCCACGUGUAGCAGUGAAAUGCGUAGAUAUGUGGAGGAACACCGAUGGCGAAGGCAGCCCCCUGGGUCAAGAUUGACGCUCAUGCACGAAAGCGUGGGGAGCAAACAGGAUUAGAUACCCCAGUAGUCCCAUG
rnacentral:rRNA from 1 species